UAUUUGAUUACCGGCUGGUUGAUAAAAAU
rnacentral:piRNA from 1 species